rnacentral:rRNA from 1 species
ACGGGGUGCAGCAGGCGCGAAACCUUCACAAUGUGCGAAAGCACGAUGAGGGGAUCCCAAGUGCUUGCUCGUAAGAGUAAGCUGUUUUUAUGUCUAAAAAGCAUAGAGAGUAAGGGCUGGGUAAGACGGGUGCCAGCCGCCGCGGUAAUACCUGCAGCUCAAGUUGUGACCACUAUUAUUGGGCCUAAAACGUUCGUAGCCGGUUUGGUAAAUGCCUGGGUAAAUCGUGUAGCUUAACUAUACGAAUUCCGGGUAGACUGCCAAACUUGAGACCGGGAGAAGCUAGAGGUACUCCUGGGGUAGAGGUGAAAUUCUGUAAUCCUGGGGGGACCACCAGUGGCGAAGGCGUCUAGCUAGAACGGGUUUGACGGUGAGGAACGAAGCCCUGGGGCGCAAACCGGAUUAGAUACCCGGGUAGUCCAGGGUGUAAACGCUGCUUGCUUGAUGUUAGUUGGGCUCCGAGCCCAAUUAGUGUCGGAGAGAAGUUGUUAAGCAAGCUGCCUGGGAAGUACGAUCGCAAGA